rnacentral:rRNA from 1 species
AACGAACGCUGGCGGCAGGCUUAACACAUGCAAGUCGAACGCGUGUAGCAAUACACGAGUGGCGCACGGGUGAGUAACGCGUGGAUAUCUGCCUUUUGGUUCGGAAUAACCCCGGGAAACUGGGGCUAAUACCGGAUGGUUCCUUCGGGAUAAAGAUUUAUCGCCAAAAGAUGAGUCCGCGUCCGAUUAGCUAGUUGGUGAGGUAAGGGCUUACCAAGGCGACGAUCGGUAGCUGGUCUGAGAGGACGAUCAGCCACACUGGGACUGAGACACGGCCCAGACUCCUACGGGAGGCAGCAGUGGGGAAUAUUGGACAAUGGGGGCAACCCUGAUCCAGCCAUGCCGCGUGAGUGAUGAAGGCCUUCGGGUUGUAAAGCUCUUUUGGCGGGGACGAUGAUGACGGUACCCGCAGAAUAAGCCCCGGCUAACUUCGUGCCAGCCGCCGCAGUAACAC